rnacentral:rRNA from 1 species
AGCGAACGCUGGCGGCAGGCUUAACACAUGCAAGUCGAGCGCCCCGCAAGGGGAGCGGCAGACGGGAGAGUAACACGUGGGAACGUACCUUUUGGUUCGGAACAACUGAGGGAAACUUCAGCUAAUACCGGAUAAGCCCUUACGGGGAAAGAUUUAUCGCCAAAAGAUCGGCCCGCGUCUGAUUAGCUAGUUGGUGAGGUAACGGCUCACCAAGGCGACGAUCAGUAGCUGGUCUGAGAGGAUGAUCAGCCUCAUUGGGACUGAGACACGGCCCAAACUCCUACGGGAGGCAGCAGUGGGGAAUAUUGGACAAUGGGCGCAAGCCUGAUCCAGCCAUGCCGCGUGGAUGAUGAAGGCCCUAGGGUUGUAAA